rnacentral:rRNA from 1 species
UCUUGGUCAUUUAGAGGAAGUAAAAGUCGUAACAAGGUUUCCGUAGGUGAACCUGCGGAAGGAUCAUUAUUGAAAUAGCACGACGGGAAGCUGUUGCUGGCCCUAGUGGCCGUGCACGCUUUCUGUCCUUCAUUUCUCCAUCUAUUUGUGCACCUCUUGCGUAGACCCCUCUGUUAGGACUGCUUUGCAAAAUUGAUUGUGGGCUUUCCUUGUUUCUACGUCGUCAUAUACACCAGUGUAACGAUUUGGAAUGAAUGGAAUUUUGAUGCAAUAUAUAAAGCACAACUUUCAGCAACGGAUCUCUUGGCUCUCGCAUCGAUGAAGAACGCAGCGAAAUGCGAUAAGUAAUGUGAAUUGCAGAAUUCAGUGAAUCAUCGAAUCUUUGAACGCAUCUUGCGCUCCUUGGUAUUCCUAGGAGCAUGCCUGUUUGAGUGUCGUUAAUAUCUCAACCGCACCAUUGGGGGUGUGGCUUGGAUUUGGGGGUUAUGCAGGCUCUGGCUUGUAGUCUGCUCCCCUGAAAUGCAUGAGUGGUUGAACCCUCUGUUAGGUGUGAUAAUUAUCUGCAUCUGAUGGAAAGGUCAUGGCUGCUUAUAUGUCGUCGGAUUUGAUAAACUUGACCUCAAAUCAGGUAGGACCACCCGCUGAACUUAAGCAUAUCAAUAAGCGGAGGA